rnacentral:ncRNA from 2 species
CUCUUAUCCAGAGUAGGUGGAGGGACUGGCCCAAUGAAGCCCGGCAACCGUUUUGAGCGGUGCUAACCAGCAGAGAAAGGAUAACUAUCUAAAUAGUUAGACUCACUCUGGCCGAUAAGAG